rnacentral:rRNA from 1 species
ACCCGGUCCCAUUCCGAACCCGGAAGUUAAGCCCUAUAGCGUCGAUGGUACUGCAAGGGGGACCUUGUGGGAGAGUAGAUCGCCGCCGGAC